rnacentral:rRNA from 1 species
UACGGGGGGUGCGAGCGUUGUCCGGAAUCACUGGGCGUAAAGGGCGCGUAGGUGGCUCUGAAAGUUUGCGGUGAAAGCCCGGGGCUCAACCCCGGGUCUGCCGUGGAUACUGCAAGGCUUGAGUACUGUAGAGGCAGGUAGAAUAUCGGGUGUAGCGGUGGAAUGCGUAGAGAUCCGAUAGAAGACCGGUGGCGAAGGCGGCCUGCUGGGCAGUAACUGACACUGAGGCGCGACAGCGUGGGGAGCAAACAGG